GAUGAACGCUAGCGAUAGGCUUAACACAUGCAAGUCGAGGGGCAGCAUGGUCUUAGCUUGCUAAGACUGAUGGCGACCGGCGCACGGGUGCGUAACGCGUAUGCAACUUGCCUCACAGGAGGGGGAUAACCCGUCGAAAGACGGACUAAUACCGCGUACACUCUAUGUUGGGCAUCCAAUGUAGAGGAAAAGAAAUUCGCUGUGAGAUAGGCAUGCGUCCCAUUAGCUAGUUGGUGAGGUAACGGCUCACCAAGGCGACGAUGGGUAGGGGAACUGAGAGGUUGAACCCCCACACUGGUACUGAGACACGGACCAG
rnacentral:rRNA from 1 species